rnacentral:tRNA from 1 species
GCCGAGGUGGCGGAAUUGGCAGACGCGCUAGGCUCAGGACUUAGUGGCUUAACAGCCAUAGGGGUUCAACUCCCCUCCUCGGCA